UGACUUCACAGAUACACUGGAGAGCACCCCAACUGAUGUAAAUGCAGGACACAGCUUUUUCUGCUUCAUUUGGCAGUAGAUGAUGAUUACUCAAUUUUGCUACAACAUUGAUUGCUACCAGAGGGAUCAGCGUGCUUUGCCAUCAUUUCCAAUAUUCAGUUGUUAUGUAGCGAUUGUUGUUGUCUAUUAUUUUAUGUUAGGGCAGCAAUUAGUACUCUCAGAGAUUGAUGCCUCUCAUCAGCACGCAAAAGACAGUUUCUCUUCCAUGUUUCUCACAGACUAAACAUAAGACAAGAGACAACAGAUAAAUCCAUCAAGCAGCCCAGAUACUGGAGAAAUGAUUAUUGAUGCAAUGAGUCACAGAAGUGCCUUAUUAUAAUUUCUGCAGGCUCUUUCUUUCUGGCUGCAGAAGACAGAAGCCCUUCGUUUGAUUUUCUUUCAUUUGGAGUAUAACAUGCUCCCUCUCCAUCAGAUCUGCACUCUCAUUAUAUCUCAACAUCUGAUUCAAGAUUGGUGAAUGUAGUAAUGCAUCCCUCCCUGGAAAGGAGAUACAUUUUUAUAAAACAGCAAAAUCAGUAUUUUUCAGGACAACACUGACUACCCAAUUUCUAUUUAGUGGAAGUAUUUGGGUAGAUAUAAAGCCUACAUAACCCUGGACAGCGAUGUACUCUACUUGGUUGAAGGCAUACUCCUUUAGUAUUUUCAGAUGUCUCCAUUUUACUGUCAUCAUGAACUCUGCAGGCUUGGAUAACUCUGCUAGCACCCUCACAGUGCUGCAGAGGUCCUUAGGGAUAGGCUGCCGAAGAACCUUGAUGUAAUGAUGGCAGCAGAGGGACAGUGACAAAAUGGCAUCUGACAUGGAAGUGUGGAUGAAGAAAAGGAGUGUCAUUGAAUUCAUCCAUGAAGAAAACACUGCAUCCACUGACAUUCCUUGACUCUUGCUGAAUGUUUCUGGAGACCAAACAGUGGAU
ensembl:lncRNA